CCACUGCUGCACCACACGCUGCAACUUGCUGCUGGUGGCCCACUGUCACCUGGAUGACACUGAGCCGCAGCCAGCCGGCUGCCCAGGCAUGCGAGCAGGGCUGCCACAGUGGGCUGCCAGGCCGUGGGGGCUGCUGUGUGUGGACUGGGCCUGCUCUGGUUCAGCUGUGCAGAGCAGGGCAGCAGCCACCCAUGGGAUGAGUGCUGCCCUUGGUGCUCCGUGGAGCCGACCGCGCUCACUCGGUGUUUCUCCUCGGCUUCUCUUGCAGGCGGGCGGGUGGGAGUUCACGCUGUCGGUGACCUGCGGCAGUGCCAGUGGGCAAAGGAGACAGCCUCAGCCACCCCUGCUGCCUCGCUUAAGGCAGGCACGGAUGCCGGCAGCUGCACCCUGGCGUGCGGCAGCAUCUUCUAAUGCCCGUAAGCUGCCUGCUCUGCAAGCAGCAGCCUCUUGCACACCUUCUGCAAGAGGCAGCGCACGUGCCAUGGGCAUUAGAGGCAGCAG
ensembl:lncRNA